UACGGGGGGGGCAAGCGUUGUUCGGAAUUACUGGGCGUAAAGGGCUCGUAGGCGGCCAACUAAGUCAUACGUGAAAUCCCUCGGCUUAACCGGGGAACUGCGUCUGAUACUGGAUGGCUUGAGUUCGGGAGAGGGAUGCGGAAUUCCAGGUGUAGCGGUGAAAUGCGUAGAUAUCUGGAGGAACACCGGCGGCGAAGGCGGCAUCCUGGACCGGCAUUGACGCUGAGGCGCGAAAGCCAGGGGAGCAAACGGG
rnacentral:rRNA from 1 species